rnacentral:tRNA from 1 species
UGGGGAAUAGGCUAAUGGUAAACCAGCGGAUUCUGAUUCCGCCUUUCUUGGUUCGAAUCCAGGUUCCCCAACCA